GAGUGAAGCGGCAACAGCUCAAAUUUGAAAUCUGGCCCUUUCAGGGUCCGAGUUGUAAUUUGUAGAGGAUGUUUCGGGUGUGGCUCCGGUCUAAGUUCCUUGGAACAGGACGUCAUAGAGGGUGAGAAUCCCGUAUGUGACUGGUAGCCUAUGCCCAUGUGAAACUCCUUCGACGAGUCGAGUUGUUUGGGAAUGCAGCUCAAAAUGGGUGGUAAAUUUCAUCUAAAGCUAAAUAUUGGCCAGAGACCGAUAGCGCACAAGUAGAGUGAUCGAAAGAUGAAAAGCACUUUGGAAAGAGAGUUAAACAGUACGUGAAAUUGUUGAAAGGGAAGCGCUUGCAACCAGACUUGCAUGUGGCUGAUCAACCGGUGUUCUCACCGGUGCACUCAGUCACGUUCAGGCCAGCAUCGGUUUCGACGGUUGGAUAAAGGCCUUGGGAAUGUAGCUUCUUUCGGGGAGUGUUAUAGCCCAGGGUGCAAUGCAGCCUGUUGGGACCGAGGACCGCGCUUCGGCUAGGAUGCUGGCGUAAUGGUUGUAAGCGACCCGUCUUGAAACACGGACCAAGGAGUCUAACAUCUAUGCGAGUGUUUGGGUGUCAAACCCAUACGCGUAAUGAAAGUGAACGGAGGUGAGAACCCUUAAGGGUGCAUCAUCGACCGAUCCUGAUGUCUUCGGAUGGAUUUGAGUAAGAGCAUAGCUGUUGGGACCCGAAAGAUGGUGAACUAUGCCUGAAUAGGGUGAAGCCAGAGGAAACUCUGGUGGAGGCUCGCAGCGGUUCUGACGUGCAAAUCGAUCGUCAAAUUUGGGUAUAGGGGCGAAAGACUAAUCGAACCAUCUAGUAGCUGGUUCCU
rnacentral:rRNA from 1 species